rnacentral:rRNA from 1 species
UAGGGAAUCUUCCGCAAUGGACGAAAGUCUGACGGAGCAGCGCCGCGUGAGUGAAGAAGGAUUUCGGUUCGUAAAACUCUGUUGUUAGGGAAGAAAAAAUGUAUAGUAACUAUAUACAAAAGAGACGGUACCUAACCAGAAAGCCACGGCUAACUACGUGCCAGCAGCCGCGGUAAUACGUAGGUGGCAAGCGUUGUCCGGAAUUAUUGGGCGUAAAGCGCGCGCAGGUGGUUUAGAAAGUCUGAUGUGAAAGCCCACGGCUCAACCGUGGAGGGUCAUUGGAAACUAAUAAACUUGAGUGCAGGAGAGAAAAGUGGAAUUCCUAGUGUAGCGGUGAAAUGCGUAGAGAUUAGGAGGAACACCGGUGGCGAAAGCGGCUUUUUGGCCUGCAACUGACACUGAGGCGCGAAAGCGUGGGGAGCAAACAGG